rnacentral:rRNA from 1 species
GACGAACGCUGGCGGCGUGCUUAACACAUGCAAGUCGAACGGAAAGGCCCUGCUUUUGUGGGGUGCUCGAGUGGCGAACGGGUGAGUAACACGUGAGUAACCUGCCCUUGACUUUGGGAUAACUUCAGGAAACUGGGGCUAAUACCGGAUAGGAGCUCCUGCUGCAUGGUGGGGGUUGGAAAGUUUCGGCGGUUGGGGAUGGACUCGCGGCUUAUCAGCUUGUUGGUGGGGUAGUGGCUUACCAAGGCUUUGACGGGUAGCCGGCCUGGGAGGGUGACCGGCCACAUUGGGCCUGGGCUACGGCCCAGCCUCCUCCGGGAGGCAGCAGUGCGGAAUAUUGCACUAUGGGCGGAAGCCUGAUGCAGCAACGCCGCGUGCGGGAUGACGGCCUUCGGGUUGUAUACCGCUUUCGCCUGUGACGAAGCGUGAGUGACGGUAAUGGGUAAAGAAGCACCGGCUAACUACGUG